GACGAACGCUGGCGGCGUGCUUAACACAUGCAAGUCGAACGGAAAGGCCCUGCUUUUGUGGGGUGCUCGAGUGGCGAACGAGUGAGUAACACGUGAGUAACCUGCCCUUGACUUUGGGAUAACUUCAGGAAACUGGGGCUAAUACCGGAUAGGAGCUCCUGCUGCAUGGUGGGGGUUGGAAAGUUUCGGCGGUUGGGGAUGGACUCGCGGCUUAUCAGCUUGUUGGUGGGGUAGUGGCUUACCAAGGCUUUGACGGGUAGCCGGCCUGAGAGGGUGACCGGCCACAUUGGGACUGAGAUACGGCCCAGACUCCUACGGGAGGCAGCAGUGGGGAAUAUUGCACAAUGGGCGGAAGCCUGAUGCAGCAACGCCGCGUGCGGGAUGACGGCCUUCGGGUUGUAAACCGCUUUCGCCUGUGACGAAGCGUGAGUGACGGUAAUGGGUAAAGAAGCACCGGCUAACUACG
rnacentral:rRNA from 1 species